CUGGGAGGGGCAAAAUGGUCAUUUUGCCAACUCAACUUCACUUCAAAUCAAAUACACUCAUGUCAACUCAAAUUGAUUCAAAAUUAGUCCCACAAGACUCAUAUCUUAACUUCGGAGCGAAAAUUACGCGAAACAGCUCACCCAAGAAUGCUAUUUCGGUCAUGGACCCAUGUUCCUGGAAUCAAAAAGGGCAAAUCUCAUGUCAUUGUGUAACUCUCGACAAAAGCAGUCCGAAGAUGGUCUUGUACACCUCGUUCGGAUGCUCGGAUUGAAGUUCUGCAAGUUCGAGCGAACAUUACAUUGCACGAGUGCACGUACUUCGAGACAACGGGACCCGUGGAACCCCGGGCAGCUCGG
rnacentral:lncRNA from 1 species